UACAGAGGGUGCGAGCGUUAAUCGGAAUUACUGGGCGUAAAGCGCGCGUAGGCGGCUUUGCAAGUCGGGUGUGAAAUCCCCAGGCUUAACCUGGGAACUGCAUUCGAGACUGCAUUGCUAGAGUAUGGGAGAGGGAAGUGGAAUUUCCGGUGUAGCGGUGAAAUGCGUAGAUAUCGGGAGGAACAUCCGUGGCGAAGGCGGCCACCUGGACCAGCACUGACACUGAGGCACGAAAGCGUGGGGAGCAAACAGG
rnacentral:rRNA from 1 species